rnacentral:rRNA from 1 species
AUGGCGGCGAUCGCCACCCAUGUGCACCAUCCACCGGCAGCCCUCUCACGCUGCGGACCGCCGUCCAACCCCUUCCUCCGCUUCGCCCCCUCGCCGUCGAUCCUCCUCCGGUCCCGCGCAGCGGCGACGCCUCCGCUGGCUCCCAUCGGCGCGCGCAGCAACAACGACGACCCCAUCUCCUACCCAGAGCCCCGUAAAACCUCGCUCGGUCUCUCCCCCCUGCUCGUCGCCGUGGCAGCGGCGGCGACCCCGCAGGCCGCGCUGGCCCUGUCCGGCGGCUCCUGCGGCGGGUGUGACGACUCCUCCAGUUCGUCGUCCUCCUCCUCUUCCUCUUCCUCGUCCUCGUCCUGCGAUGACUCCACUACCGACUCCAUAGAUUGGUCAUCCACGUCCUUCUCCUCUAAGCCGAAGAAGAAGGAGGGGGCCGAGGCGACUCACGAGUCAGUCGGCACUCCGGCGGCUCCUCCGUUUGGCUUGAGCUCUGACCAGUGGUUCUGGGGCACCUUCGCCUUGGGAUCCGCCGGCGUCGUUGCCUUAUUCGUCGCCCUGCAGAAACUGCUGGGCGAGAAGACCGCCGUUGUUAAGCUCCAGGUUGCGCUGCGUGAUACGGCGAUGGUAAAAUCACUCCAAAAGGAUCUGAAUUCCAUUGCUGAGAGGGUGGAGGGUUCGAACCGAUGGUGGUACAAGUUCAUAUUGACCGAGACCAUGUAUUCCUUACGCCGUCACCAGCAUUGCUGCAUCUCUUCAUGCUUAUCAGUUGUCACAACAAACAUAGAGGGUUCUUGGAAGGAGCAUUUUGACAGGAUUUCUGCGGAGGAGAGGAGCAAAUUUGAUGAAGAAACACUUUCGAACUCGAACGGGGUCAAACAAAAGAAAACCUACUCCAUGAAAACAGAUGGCAGCAGAAACGAGUACAUAGUGGUAACCAUUCUCGUUGCUGCUAAUGGAACAAUAAAUCUCCCCGUGGCGAUCAAAAGCCCUGCAGAUCUGGAAGAGGUAGUGGCAAGGCUCAACUCUACGCCUGCAAGUGAACUUCGGGGUGUUCGAGUCAUGUGGACCCCUCAAGAUGCGGAUGACGUUCUCUCAGAAGAGAGGAUGCGGAAGGAUUACCCAUACCUGAAGCCCAUUGCGUGA